AUUGAACGCUGGCGGCAGGCCUAACACAUGCAAGUCGAAUGGUAACAGGAAACAUCUUGCUGUUUCGCUGACGAGUGGCGGACGGGUGAGUAAUGUCUGUGAAACUGCCUGAUGGAGGGGGAUAACUACUGGAAACGGUAGCUACUACCGCAUAACGUCGCAAGACCAAAGAGGGGGACCUUCGGGCCUCUUGCCAGCACAUGUGCCCAGAUGGGAUUAGCUAGUAGGUGGGGUAACGGCUCACCUAGGCGACGAUCCCUAGCUGGUCUGAGAGGAUGACCAGCCACACUGGAACUGACACACGGUCCAGACUCCUACGGGAGGCAGCAGUGGGGAAUAUUGCACAAUGGGCGCAAGCCUGAUGCAGCCAUGCCGCGUGUAUGAAGAAGGCCUUCGGGUUGUAAAGUACUUUCAGCGGGGAGGAAGGGAGUAAAGUUAAUACCUUUGCUCAUUGACGUUACCCGCAGAAGAAGCACCGGCUAACUCCGUG
rnacentral:rRNA from 1 species